UACGGGGGGGGCAAGCGUUGUUCGGAUUUAUUGGGCGUAAAGAGCUCGUAGGCGGUUUGUUGCGUCGGCUGUGAAAUCCCGAGGCUCAACCUCGGGUCUGCAGUCGAUACGAGCAAACUAGAGUGUUGCAGGGGAGACUGGAAUUCCUGGUGUAGCGGUGAAAUGCGCAGAUAUCAGGAGGAACACCGGUGGCGAAGGCGGGUCUCUGGGCAACAACUGACGCUGAGGAGCGAAAGCGUGGGGAGCGAACAGG
rnacentral:rRNA from 1 species